rnacentral:lncRNA from 1 species
AUAAUUUUUCUUGCUUUUUUUGAUGCCAAAUCUUUGAUAUCAUCAUCAAAAUUGAUUGAAUUUGCUACUUCACUUUCUAUUGACAAAAUCAUCAUUCAUCUGUUAAUGGUAUCAUCAUUCUGUAAAAAGUUAAUCAAAAUCGGUGUUUUUUUAAUUGGGUAAUUUUCAUAGACCUCGGGGCCUCUCAAAAUGCGGGGCCGGGUUCCAGCGAACGUGCUGAACCUACCUUGUGCCGGCAAUUUACAAUUGACCAAGAUAUUUUAUAAUUAAAUUUGUUUAUAAAAUAAAUGAAUUUAUACAUUUACAGAAAGUAUCCCCUUAUUUUAAAUAUAUUUUUAUUGGGAUUAUUGUUUUAAUUUAUGCAAAUUUUACAUUAUAUAUUUGCUAUAGCAUCACAAUUCACAUGUAUUUCAUAGUUAGUUUGUAUUUUUAUUUAUUUAUAUGAAUUUACAAAUUUUAUUAUUUUA